AGUCGCUCGGAACUGCCGACCCGAGUGCUUCCCGCAGAGGGCUGGUGGUGGGAGCGGAGUGGGUCGGGCGGGGCCGAGCCGGGCCGUGGGCCGUGUGGGGGCCGGGCGGCGGCCGGGCCGGCGGACGGCGGGAUGGGCUGCACCGUGAGCGCCGAGGACAAGGCGGCGGCCGAGCGCUCUAAGAUGAUCGACAAGAACCUGCGGGAGGACGGAGAGAAGGCGGCGCGGGAGGUGAAGUUGCUGCUGUUGGGUGCUGGGGAGUCAGGGAAGAGCACCAUCGUCAAGCAGAUGAAGAUCAUCCACGAGGAUGGCUACUCCGAGGAGGAAUGCCGGCAGUACCGGGCGGUUGUCUACAGCAACACCAUCCAGUCCAUCAUGGCCAUUGUCAAAGCCAUGGGCAACCUGCAGAUCGACUUUGCCGACCCCUCCAGAGCGGACGACGCCAGGCAGCUAUUUGCACUGUCCUGCACCGCCGAGGAGCAAGGCGUGCUCCCUGAUGACCUGUCCGGCGUCAUCCGGAGGCUCUGGGCUGACCAUGGUGUGCAGGCCUGCUUUGGCCGCUCAAGGGAAUACCAGCUCAACGACUCAGCUGCCUACUACCUGAACGACCUGGAGCGUAUUGCACAGAGUGACUACAUCCCCACACAGCAAGAUGUGCUACGGACCCGCGUAAAGACCACGGGGAUCGUGGAGACACACUUCACCUUCAAGGACCUACACUUCAAGAUGUUUGAUGUGGGUGGUCAGCGGUCUGAGCGGAAGAAGUGGAUCCACUGCUUUGAGGGCGUCACAGCCAUCAUCUUCUGCGUAGCCUUGAGCGCCUAUGACUUGGUGCUAGCUGAGGACGAGGAGAUGAACCGCAUGCAUGAGAGCAUGAAGCUAUUCGAUAGCAUCUGCAACAACAAGUGGUUCACAGACACGUCCAUCAUCCUCUUCCUCAACAAGAAGGACCUGUUUGAGGAGAAGAUCACACACAGUCCCCUGACCAUCUGCUUCCCUGAGUACACAGGGGCCAACAAAUAUGAUGAGGCAGCCAGCUACAUCCAGAGUAAGUUUGAGGACCUGAAUAAGCGCAAAGACACCAAGGAGAUCUACACGCACUUCACGUGCGCCACCGACACCAAGAACGUGCAGUUCGUGUUUGACGCCGUCACCGAUGUCAUCAUCAAGAACAACCUGAAGGACUGCGGCCUCUUCUGAGGGGCAGCGGGGCCUGGCGGGAUGGGCCACCGCCGACUUUGUACCCCCCAACCCCUGAGGAAGAUGGGGGCAAGAAGAUCACGCUCCCCGCCUGUUCCCCCGCCGCUUUUCUCCUCUUUCCUCUCUUUGUUCUCAGCUCCCCCUGUCCCCUCAGCUCCAGACGUAGGGGAGGGGUUGCCACAGGCCUCCCUGUUUGAAGCCUGCCCUUGUCUGAGAUGCUGGUAAUGGCCAUGGUACCCCCUUCUGGGCAUCUGUUCUGGUUUUUAACCAUUGUCUUGUUCUGUGAUGAGGGGAGGGGGGCACAUGCUGAGUCUCCCAAGGCUGCGUCUGGAGGGGCCCCUGCUUCUCCAGCCUGGACCCCCAGCUUUGCCCAACACCAGCCCCUGCCCCAGCCCAAGUCCAAAUGUUUACAGGGAGCCUCCUGCCCAGUCCCCCAACCCCAGCCGCUCGGAGGCCCCAAAGGAAAAAGCACAAGAAGCGUGAGACGCCACCAUUCCUGGAAACCACAGUCCACCUGCUCAUUCUCGUAGCUUUUUAAAAAAAUGAAAGUAAAGGAAAAAAAAAAAACUGCAAAUCUAGAAAACUUUUUAGAGAAAAACUAUUUAAAACUGUCAGAUCCUGACCAGCAAGCCCCCCCCCAGCCCCCCUUCCAAGUGACUCCGUGCCUUGAGUGUGUCUGCGUGUUUACACCCGUCCCUCUGCUGGCCGCCCCCGUGCGAGCGGCACCCCUGCCCUGCCCUCCACAGAAUUGGGUUCCAAGGGCUGUUCCAGACAACUGCCAACGUCACUGAGGGCCCUGCCCCAGCGGCCCUGGCCCCAGGCUCUAUUAACCUAAAAUGUAGCUCCCUAGCGCUAACCUAGGAACCGCCGCUGCCUGCUGGGGGGCCACGCCCCUCAUGCCCUUGUCCCAGGCCCGGGGCCUUCAGCGUUGAACACUUCCUUGCUUUUUUCACAUGUUUUAUGGAAUUGUUCACCUGGUUUGAAAUAAUAAAAUGUAGAAAGAAAAAAAAUACCGAGAACUGAUGGGUAUUCUCUCCCAGGGGCAGAGGCCUGGGCUAAGGUGUGCCAAGGUGAUGGUGGUCCUAACCUCAGUCCUCAACCUGAGUCAGGGCCCUGACUCAGCUUUCCGGGCCGUCCUGGAGCCCCACGCUCUGAGCUUCAUUUCUCCCACCUGGACUAGGCAGCAUACAUGUGGGGCCCGUGUGUCCCCGCCCUUCCAGUACUCUGCAGCCUUGGGUCUCGGGCAGCUGGGCAGGCUUCUAAGGGAGCUGUUGUAAGGUGCUCUUCCACACCUGGAGCAGGAGGGGUGGCCGGCCUCUCUAGCGCGGAAGGAGAAAGUGACUUCCGACUUAGGUACCAAGGCCUGAGAGUGUCCGUUGCCAAGGCCACACAGCCAGGUGGGCCGCAUGCAGUCCUGGCUUGACUAAAAAGGCCAGUAGGGGCCUUAAGACAUAUUCAGAAAGUUCCCUGCCCCAGAGGGCCGCCGCCAAACCUGAAGGGUAGUGACAGGUGGCCAUACUACCAUGUGAUGGUUGCCCCAGGCUGGGCCUGGAGAGCUGCAGAUCAUUGACUCUGAAGAUGGAAGGCUCCAUGAGGCUGUGGGAAGGGCCCGCGCGUUUCUGGGGAAGGGAAUUGCAGAUGGCAAGGCUGGUGAUGCUUGUGGGGCGGGCCCUGAGUGCCAUCGAGGCGCCUGGACCUUCUCCCGGGGGCAGCCGCGGCCUGAACGUGUGGGGGCGGGCUCGCGGAAAGGCUGGCCUCGACUGGGUGGGGCUCCGGCGUUGGCGCAUCCGCCUCCGGCCGCCAGGGGGCGCCGCCGCCCGUGCUCUGCCCUGCCUGGCUGGUCACAGAGGCUGACGUCAGCGGGUCCCGCGGAGGCCGCUGGACACAAAGGCAGCUUUGUGAGGCGGCGACGGCUCCGCGGCCGCCCCAGGACAGAGCGGCCUGGGCAGAGGGCGGGCCGGGGUCGGCGCCGCGGAGGCGGGGAGGGAGGGAGGGUUGGAGGGUUGAGCCAGAGACCCGGGACCCCGUCCCCGCACACCUGCCAGUGCCCCGUAGCUUCGGCCGCCGGCACUGGCAGGAGAUGAAAGGCUGCUGCCGCCCGGUCGGAAGGACAUCGGCGCCCCCCAGGCCCGGUCCCCGCCCCAGUUCCUCGGGCCUUUCCUGCUGCCCCUGCCUGCGAGGGCCGACGACACGGAGAACAGGAUCCUGCGCCCAACCCAGGUCCCCGCCUUCUUUCAGAGGCCCAGGCCUGGACCCCGCUGAGCCGCAGAUGUGCGAGCAGGAGCGCCAGAGCCCCGAUGCCCGCCCAGCAGGAAGCGGGCGGGAGAUGGUUCCUUCCUUCUGUCCUGAGGGGGAACCCUGCACAGAGGGACCAUUGAGGGCCUGGCAUUGUCUGCCUAACUCACCCAGUGCCUCCCUCCCUGGGUGGGCCAUGCGGGGCCUUGACAGGAUUGCCCUGGUGCCGUCUUGGCAGUGGGUCUGGGUGGGAUCCUGGGGGCAGGGCUUCCCUGAGUGCAGACAGCUAGGCCUCCACCUGCCCCGGCCUCCCACCCAGGCUCAGAUUUCCAGGGCAUAAGGCUCCAUUGUCCCAGCACUGGUGGAGGCGGCCUGUCAAUUCAGCCUUGUGUUUGGUGGUUGGGAAAUUCCCAGCCAUGGGGGGCUGCAGGCAGGAAGGGGCUGCCCAGGUGUCCUGCACCCCAACUGAAGGGACUCCAUGAGGUUGGUUCCUGGGCAUCCCCUGCUGCCUGGAGCUGUCCCAGGCUGGACCUCAACCAUUCAUCAACCCUCAGGAGCAGUUGGGUGAGGAGCACCAGAAAUUCAAUGCUCCCUGGCGCUGCAUCCCCAGAGCCCUCCCAGCCUAAGAAGCCCCAUCUUUCUGUCUCCACGCAUGGAGAACUGCAGCUGUGAGGCCCAGGACCCUUAGCAGGACAUGCAGAGCUGGGCAGGGACCCAGGCUCAUGCUCCCAGCGUGGGGUGAGUUGUCUCCAGCCUGUGGAGACUGCCAUGAAGUUGAUCUGCCUCCCAGAGGGCCUGGCCCACUUGAAAUAAUUGCUCCGGCUACUGAUGUGGUGGGAACUUUGGUAUUUUUAACCCAUUUGGGGGGUGGGGGAGCAGCUAGGAAGAGAGAGGCAAGCUUUCAGAGUCAGAGAGGCCUGAGAGAGGAGAGUAGAGGGAAACUCAGUGAGGAGGAGCCAGGCAGGCUGCCUCGGUAGUUCCCCAGGCCUAGACACCCCCCCUGUACCACCCCCUGUCCCAGCAGGUAGGUGCAGACCUAGAUGCCAGGUGCAGAAGGGGGAAAGGGCCCUCUCCAGGGUUACAGCAGGGAUCACCGAGGCUGCAGGGGCUGCCAAGGCCUGGAAGAAGUCCCAUGUUCCAGGGAGCCCCAUGGCUUCUGAUGUCAGGAAAACUUAGUCCUCUCAGUUCCCCAGAAUCAUUUCACCCCACCCCACCCAAACUGAGUGGCAAACCAGUUGAGUAGAGAAUACAAGCCCUGACUCCAGCUGCCUGGUCAGUGGCAUAGCCAGCCAAGUCCUAGCAACCCUAGGAGUCAGGGAGUCAGGGAGGAGGCAAGGACAAGACUACAGUAUUGUUUGGCUGAGUUCUGGGUCUGGCCCCACUCCCCAAAACUGACCCCAAUCUCUGUGUCUGCUGCCCUAAAAAGAGACCCUGGGGCUGGGUGUGGUGGCUCACGCCUGUAAUCCUAGCACUUUGGGAGGCCAAGGUGGGCGGAUCACUUGAGAUCAGGAGUUCAAGACCAGCCUGGCCAACAUGGUGAAACCCCGUCUCUACUAAAAUACAAAAAUUAGCUGGGCAUGAUGACGGGUGCCUGUAAUCCCAGCUACUCAGGAGGCUGAAACAGGAGAAUCACUUGAACCCAGGAGACGGUGGUUGCAGUGAGCCAAGAUUGUGCCACUGCACUCUAGCCUAGGUGGCUGAGCGAGACUCCAUCUCAAAAAAAUAAAUAAAAGGAGACCCUGACUGGAUGUAGUGGCUCAUGCCUUAAUCCCAGCACUUUUGGAGGCCAAGGCAGGAGGAUCACUUGAGGCCAAAAGUUUGAGACCAGCCUGGGCAACAUAGCAAGACCCCGUCUCUUAAAAACAAAAGAUCCUAGCGGUCCUCAUCUCUACCAUGGACUACCAGAGGGAAGGCAGCACCUCUCAUCACCCAGGGGGAUGGCCUCCAGUCAGCUGGGUGGGGAACACAGAGCCCUGCCCAGAGGCUUGAACCUGGCACCACAGGGGUCUGGAAUUACACAGAAGACGGGUGACAGCCAAGGUGGAUCAUGAACGGUGAGAAGUCCAGCAGGUGACAAGGGGAAGGGUCUAAAGGGUGGAGGGCACAGCGCAAGCAAAGUCUUGGCAACAAAAGAGCUAAUGCAUCCCAGAAAUGGGGCAGGUGGAGUACUGGAAGCUACACCAAGCUUCAGAGUGGUCCUGUGGCCUCGGUGUGGUAGCUCAGGCCUAUAAUUCCAACACUUUGGGAGGCUGAGGCAGGAGGAGGAUAACUUGAACCCAGGAGUUCAAGAUCAGCCUGGGCAACAUAGUGAGACCUCCAUUUUUACAAAAAAUACAAAAAUUAACUGUG